ensembl:lncRNA
GUAAUAUUUGAAGCUAUGAAAUACUGAUUUAUUUGGUAACAUCUUAAGGAGAGUAGCUCUCAACCAACAAACAGUGGAGAUUCAUUUAUAAACAAGCAAACGCCCCUGCUUCACAGGUGAGGUUAAUCUCCGGCAGGUGUUCUGCACUGGGUCCCAGGAUUUCUCAGCUGAAAUAACUUCAGUUGUCCACAGUGGUGAUUUACAGACCCUUUAUUAACAGCCCUCCCUUCCUUGAAGCCCUUUCUCACUUCCCUACCGUUGUUUGCAGAAGUCAUUUCCUAAAUACCCUACUUUCAUGUGAAUCUUUGUCUCGGUGCCUGCUUCGGAGGAAACCCGGGGAAGACCAGCACGGAAUGAAUGACAAUAAUUGUUUCCUUUGGGGGCAACAGUUUAGUGUGUCUGCAUAAUUCUUCCAUCAAACCAGAAAUCAAAAUUUUAAGAAAGAACUCUAGACCCAGAGUCUACAAUAGAUACUGACCCUGAUGUGACAGAAGGAAAGGGGACUAUAGGCCGACAUGGACAAGGAGGCAACGUGGCCAGGAGGCAGUGCAAUACAAGGACUGCAGGACGCUGUGGAACAACUAAAAGAGCUCCAAGAAAAAAAAACACACCAGGGACAGUCUCUUCCUGAUGAGAUUCUGGACUUCUGUGUAUUCCCUCCCAUUUGGUGAAGCCUUACCAUGGCAUAAUGGAGACCCCCCAGGUAAUCUUCCAAUGAACCAGAACUUCCAGAGAAUGACUCUGAGUUUGUCUGGACAGAGAAGAUUGUCAUAUAAUGGCUCCGAUUAUUUUAACUCAAUUUUACUAAAUGCUCCAGUAUUAAUCGUUUCUUUUCAGCCUUUAAUUGAUAUAUCAUUUAUGUUAGAAGCUAUUAAGAAAAUGUAUAAAAGAUGUAUUAACCAGAAUAACAGAGAUCUUUCCUCUCCUGCCCAUUCUUAUUCAUGGUGCAAAGACAGCUUCCCCCAUUACCUUGAAAGACUCCACCUCCCCCAUUUUAUUAUUUUUCAUAAUACUUAUCACCAUCUGCCAUACCAUGUGUGUGUAUGGGGAAGCAUAAUUCUAUGAUGAUCCCCUCGUGAAUCCCAUCCACGUAUAAUGCCCUACUUUUGAAUCCAGGCAGGACCUGUGAGUUGCUUCUAGAUAAGAAUAUGGCAAAAGUACAGCGAUGCCACUCCCUUGCUUAGGUUCCGUUGGGUAAGACUCCUUCUUAGCAAAUUGAAGCAAGAAAUUCUCCUGAUGGCCUUCAAGAAGGAAACCACCAGGUGUGAAAGAAUCACAUGGCAAGGAAUGAUGGGGGACUCUAGAAGCUGAGAAUGGUCCCUGCUGACAGCCAGCAAAAAGGUAGUCCUAUAGCUUCAAGCAACUGACCACAACUGCCAACAACCACGUGAUCUUGAAAGAGAACGCCAAGCUCCAGAAAGAACCUCAGCACAGCCAAUACCUUCACUGCAACCUUGCAGAAGGGCCAGCUAAGCUGUGCCAGGACUCCUGCCUGUGGACACUGUGAGAUAGUAACUGCAUGUUGUGAACUGCUGAUUUUGUGGUAACUUGUUACCCAGCAAUACAGAAUGUGCUGUAUAUUUAUCUGUAUAUGUAUUGUCUGCCCCUGCACCCUCCCAACACAUUCAUUAGCUUGUAAGCACCAUGAGAAAAGGAUUUUUUUUUUGCCUGCUUUUGAAACUACUUUAUCUCCAGUGGCUAAGAAGAUUACUCAGCACUUAGUAGGCUUUCCCUAAAUAAAUGUUAAAUGAAUUAAGUGAAAUGAAAAUAU